UAUUUUACUUUACAUUGUUUGCUACUCAGU
rnacentral:piRNA from 1 species